rnacentral:misc_RNA from 1 species
AACGCAUAUUGCGCCCAUUGGUAUUCCGAUGGGCAUGCCUGUUCGAGCGUCAUUUCAACCCUCAAGCUUACUGUUUGCUUGGCGUUGGGGCUGCUGUAACGUAUAGAUACAGGCCCUGAAAGAACUUGGCGGAAUUUUUAUAAGCCCGAACGUAGUAAUUAAUUCUCGUUCUAGGAACUAUAAAAGUUCUUUUGACCAUUAAACAUUUAUAAUUUUUAGAAAGUUGACCUCGGAUCAGGUAGGAAUACCCGCUGAACUUAA